CCCUUAGAUGUUCUGGGCCGCACGCGCGCUACACUGAUGCAUUCAACAAGCCUAGCCUUGACCGAGAGGUCCGGGUAAUCUUUGAAACUGCAUUGUGAUGGGGCUAGAUUAUUGCAAUUAUUAAUCUUCAACGAGGAAUGCCUAGUAAGCGUGAUUCAUCAAAUCGCGUUGAUUACGUCCCUGCCCUUCGUACACACCGCCCGUCGCUCCUACCGAUUGAAUGUGUUGGUGAGGAGCUCGGAUUGGCAGCAGUUGGUGGUUCGCCACCGGCUAUUGCUGAGAAGUCCUCCAAACCGCCCCAUUUAGAGGAAGGAGAAGUCGUAACA
rnacentral:rRNA from 1 species